UCUCGAUAGCGUAGAAGUUAACUCAAAUUUGUAUUAAGUUGGAACGUUUGCCUACGUUUGUCGCGAAGGGCGAUUUUCCAACUGCCUAAAAAUUUGGGUUAACUUUUACGCUGUGGC
rnacentral:pre_miRNA from 9 species